rnacentral:rRNA from 1 species
CGGAGGAAGGUGGGGAUGACGUCAGGUCCUCAUGGCCCUUAUGGGUAGGGCUACACACGUCAUACAAUGGCCGGGACAGAGGGCUGCCAACCCGCGAGGGGGAGCCAAUCCCAGAAACCCGGUCGUAGUCCGGAUCGCAGUCUGCAACUCGACUGCGUGAAGUCGGAAUCGCUAGUAAUCGCGGAUCAGCUUGCCGCGGUGAAUACGUUCCCGGGUCUUGUACACACCGCCCGUCACACCAUGGGAGCGGGUUCUGCCAGAAGUAGUUAGCCUAACCGCAAGGAGGGCGAUUACCACGGCAGGGUUCGUGACUGGGGUGAAGUCGUAACAAGGUAACCAAGGGC